CCAGCGCCAUGUUGGAAGUCUUCCAAUCGUCCACAUGGUUGGCUGCAUUUUGCUACCACCGGAAAGAACUUGAAGAAUGCCCAUUAUUUCGUUUUUGUAAGGACACAGAAAACGGACGCAGAGAGAGAACGUAUUCAAAUACAGAGCUGUGAAACCCUGUCUGCAGAUGAAGAGGUCCCAAUGAACGUCCCAAGAGAAUAAGGGUGGUGAAACGUCUGGAAGUAGGAGAUGAUGGGAUCCUUCUCUUCAAACAUACAACUACUACCACCAAGUUCAAUGCCAGAUACUUUUCUCCCAGAAGGUCUGAGUGGCACUUGGAGGUGCCACUGUGAUAAUGAAGAUGGUUUGCCAAAGACUACCACAACAGUUACAUGGUCUAUGCUUAAUGUGUUUAAAUUGUAAAUGAGAAAAAAUAGUUGGGCUAUAAGAAAUACUUUUUUAUUCAAUGGGGCUAGGCAAAGCAGAGAUGACAUUACUUUUGUAUUUCACCCAUAUACUAGCUAGCCUAUUAUUAAAGUACAGUAUGUUUACAAUAUCAUAAGCAAUAGUAUUUUACACGUUCCAAAUAUUUUUUUAAAUGUUCAUACGGUUUAAGGGGGCACUUUUAUCAUGACGACAAGGUGAAAGGUUGCUAGAUCGAAUCUCCGAGCUGACAAGGUAAAAAUAUGUCGUUCUCCCCCUGAACAAGGCAGUUCCUAGGCCGUCAUUGUAAAUAAGAAUUUGUUCUUAACUGGCUUCCCUAGUUAAAACAGGUGCUCUUUUCAAAUUGCACAACAGAAGCAUUCAGAUUGACCAAAGCACAGCAUAUAACUACCAUCUCAUAUAACUGAGGGAUGUCUCUUUUCAUAUCUGGAAAAGGACAAAGUAGUAGAAGUAGAAACUGCUGCUGCAGUACUGCUCAUCUUCACAGUGGGAAUCCAGUUGACAUGGGUGUCUUGAUAGAGGUCAGCUGGUGAACCUACAGUACAUAAAACAAAUGAGAAGCACACCAGAUGUUAGAAUAGCACUUCUUCGGGUCACCUAUACCACCAGGGCUCUUAAAUUGUUUGGUUGUGUUUAAUUCAUUCUGGGGUUUUAGUAUCAUAUAAAGAUAAUCUAUUGUUGACCUGGAACACACAAUAGUCAACACAGCAGGUUGUCCUAUCCCAUUGAGGCCUUUGUCCUAUGCUGUAAUGUACAUCCAUUUUCCCUCUUAUGAAUAAAGUUCUCAGAAAAUUAUCAA